CCACUUGAUGAAGAAGACCUUGUCCAGUACAUCAUCACUGGGCUAAAUGAAGACUUCAGCCCGAUCGUCUCCAACCUCUGCAACAAGUCCGAUCCCAUCACGGUUGGGGAGCUGUAUUCCCAGCUUGUCAACUUUGAAA
rfam:Oryza punctata chromosome 6, whole genome shotgun sequence.